CCUACGGGUGGCAGCAGUGAGGAAUAUUGGUCAAUGGACGCUAGUCUGAACCAGCCAAGUAGCGUGAAGGAUGACUGCCCUAUGGGUUGUAAACUUCUUUUAUAUGGGAAUAAAAUGCAGCAUGUGUGCUGCUUUGUAUGUACCUUAUGAAUAAGGAUCGGCUAACUCCGUGCCAGCAGCCGCGGUAAUACGGAGGAGCCGAGCGUUAUCCGGAUUUAUUGGGUUUAAGGGGAGCGUAGGCGGGUUGUUAAGUCAGUUGUGAAAGUUUGCGGCUCAACCGUAAAAUUGCAGUUGAAACUGGCAGUCUUGAGUACAGUAGAGGUGGGCGGAAUUCGUGGUGUAGCGGUGAAAUGCUUAGAUAUCACGAAGAACUCCGAUUGCGAAGGCAGUUCACUGGACUGCAACUGACGCUGAGGCUCGAAAGUGUGGGUAUCAAACAGGAUUAGAUACCCUUGUAGUC
rnacentral:rRNA from 1 species